rnacentral:piRNA from 1 species
UGUAACUCCACUUCCAGGAGAUCUGAUGCC